AGUAAAGCGAGUGCAAGAAAUAAAUAAAGUAAAGCGAGUGCGAGAAAUAAAUAAAGUAAAGCGAGUGCGAGAAAUAAAUAAAGUAAAGCGAGUGCGAGAAAUAAAUAAAGUAAAGCGAGUGCGAGAAAAUAAAUAGAUAAAGGCAAAGUAAUAAAAACCUGCUCCAAUCGGAGGGUUGAAUAAAAUGCAAAGCGGAAAUGAAAAUGGC
rnacentral:lncRNA from 1 species